UGAACCUUUAAUCCAGUCCUGAGAGGCUGGAAAGGAAAGAAAAUUGUUCCUUAUUUCAAAAACCUUACAACCUGAAAGACGUACGUAAAUACCUUGUCUCUCUCAGAGAAAGGUUUUUUUUAU
rfam:Nitrospira bacterium SG8_35_1 WOR_8-12_26806, whole genome shotgun sequence.